UCGGUUCCAGCCCAUUAGCGGUGGCAGCCAGCCAACAGGUGCCGAUUGAAGUCUUCUUACUGGCGUCAAAACUGGGUAACUCCGAAGGGUAGGCUGGUUUUCCAGGCAAAUCCGGAAAAUCAAGGCUGAGGCGUGAUGACGAGGCACUACGGUGCUGAAGCAACAAAUGCCCUGCUUCCAGGAAAAGCCUCUAAGCAUCAGGUAACAUCAAAUCGUACCCCAAACCGACACAGGUGGUCAGGUAGAGAAUACCAAGGCGCUUGAGAGAACUCGGGUGAAGGAACUAGGCAAAAUGGUGCCGUAACUUCGGGAGAAGGCACGCUGAUAUGUAGGUGAAGCGACUUGCUCGUGGAGCUGAAAUCAGUCGAAGAUACCAGCUGGCUGCAACUGUUUAUUAAAAACACAGCACUGUGCAAACACGAAAGUGGACGUAUACGGUGUGACGCCUGCCCGGUGCCGGAAGGUUAAUUGAUGGGGUUAGCGGUAACGCGAAGCUCUUGAUCGAAGCCCCGGUAAACGGCGGCCGUAACUAUAACGGUCCUAAGGUAGCGAAAUUCCUUGUCGGGUAAGUUCCGACCUGCACGAAUGGCGUAAUGAUGGCCAGGCUGUCUCCAUCCGAGACUCAGUGAAAUUGAACUCGCUGUGAAGAUGCAGUGUACCCGCGGCAAGACGGAAAGACCCCGUGAACCUUUACUAUAGCUUGACACUGAACAUUGAGCCUUGAUGUGUAGGAUAGGUGGGAGGCUUUGAAGUGUGGACGCCAGUCUGCAUGGAGCCGACCUUGAAAUACCACCCUUUAAUGUUUGAUGUUCUAACGUUGGCCCCUGAUCGGGGUUGCGGACAGUGUCUGGUGGGUAGUUUGACUGGGGCGGUCUCCUCCUAAAGAGUAACGGAGGAGCACGAAGGUUGGCUAAUCCUGGUCGGACAUCAGGAGGUUAGUGCAAUGGCAUAAGCCAGCUUGACUGCGAGGAACCUCGAGGCCGUGCGUGCGGCUCUGCUGGCUGAUAAACCCGUUUCGCAAAGCGAUCUGAAU
rnacentral:rRNA from 1 species